UACAGAGGUCUCAAGCGUUGUUCGGAUUCAUUGGGCGUAAAGGGUGCGUAGGCGGCGCGGUAAGUCGGGUGUGAAAUCUUGGAGCUUAACUCCGAAACUGCAUUCGAUACUGCUGUGCUUGAGGACUGGAGAGGAGACUGGAAUUCCCGGUGUAGCGGUGAAAUGCGCAGAUAUCGGGAAGAACACCCGUGGCGAAGGCGGUUCUCUGGGACGGUACUGACGCUGAGGUACGAAGGCAUGGGUAUCGAUCGGG
rnacentral:rRNA from 1 species